rnacentral:rRNA from 1 species
UACAGAGGGGGCAAGCGUUGUUCGGAAUUACUGGGCGUAAAGGGCGCGUAGGCGGCCUGUUAAGUCGGACGUGAAAUCCCCGGGCUCAACCCGGGAACUGCGUCCGAUACUGGCAGGCUUGAAUCCGGGAGAGGGAUGUGGAAUUCCAGGUGUAGCGGUGAAAUGCGUAGAUAUCUGGAGGAACACCGGUGGCGAAGGCGGCAUCCUGGACCGGUAUUGACGCUGAGGCGCGAAAGCCAGGUGAGCAAACGGG